rnacentral:rRNA from 1 species
AUUGAACGCUGGCGGCAGGCCUAACACAUGCAAGUCGAGCGGAUGAAGGGAGCUUGCUCCUGGAUUCAGCGGCGGACGGGUGAGUAAUGCCUAGGAAUCUGCCUGGUAGUGGGGGAUAACGUCCGGAAACGGGCGCUAAUACCGCAUACGUCCUGAGGGAGAAAGUGGGGGAUCUUCGGACCUCACGCUAUCAGAUGAGCCUAGGUCGGAUUAGCUAGUUGGUGGGGUAAAGGCCUACCAAGGCGACGAUCCGUAACUGGUCUGAGAGGAUGAUCACUCACACUGGAACUGAGACACGGUCCAGACUCCUACGGGAGGCAGCAGUGGGGAAUAUUGGACAAAGGGCGAAAGCCUGAUCCAGCCAUGCCGCGUGUGUGAAGAAGGUCUUCGGAUUGUAAAGCACUUUAAGUUGGGAGGAAGGGCAGUAAGUUAAUACCUUGCUGUUUUGACGUUACCAACAGAAUAAGCACCGGCUAACUUCGUG